rnacentral:tRNA from 1 species
GGUGCUGUGGCACAGUGGGUUAAUGCCCUGGCCUGAAGCGCCAGCAUCUUGUAUGGGUGCUGGUUUGAGACCUGGCUGCUCCA